ACAAUGUCUUGUUCAGUGUUAUAUGAUCUCAUUACUGUUAUAAACAAACUACCACAUGACAGUGACAGUAUAUAUAGGAGGCUGUGAUAUAAAACCAGAAACAGAAUUUGAAAACUUUAAAACAUUUAUAAAACAAUCAGACAAUUUUGUGGUCACCUAUGAUGACACCUUGGAGUCUGGAGAGUACGUGUUUGAGUUUAAAACAACAACAAGUACUGAGUAACCUUAAAUGUACUUGGGAGAAACAAUUUAUAAAUAGAUUAUGAGACAAGUGACAGGUGAAAUAGACAUCAUUUUUUUAUUUUAAGUCUGACAUUUAAUCAAUACUUUGCUGUAGAUAGAAUUAACAGUUUCAAAAUGUGAAUAUGAAUGGAAACUGAGGAUUUUUUUCAAUGGGACAACAAUUGUGGAUUAAUUUUAGAUGUACUUAACCCAACAUUAUGUGUAUUCCUUCUUCCAAGAAAUGGACAGAUUCACAAGAGACUUCAAUAAUUACAAGAACUGACAUUCAUGUGGAAUUUUCUGUAGUUAUGAUAUGAACAAAAUCAUAGACUACAAAAUGGGUCAUAAACUAACAUAAUGUGUCACAUCGGAUUCAUGAACUGUACAUGUAUGGAGAAAUUUUGCAUGAAUACAAAUACUGAAGUCAAGUAGUGUAAUGACGUCAAGCAAUUGUUUGCAGAUACUGGUAUUUAUAAAAUAUAUAACAGUUGAUAUUAACAUUACUCUUCCAAACUUAGGACUCCAGCCAAUCAUGAGAUGAUUUGUCAAUAGUUAAUUAUUACCAGAGAGUUGCAGUCAUUGUAUUGUUUAAAACAUGGAUAUAUAACUCAGACAAUUCAAGGCAUGAAAAUUGCCUACUCGUGCAAUAUUGCAUUAUAUUAACUCUCAGGAAAAUUUAUUUAAUGAAUGUAUACAUAUAUAUUUGUAUAGAAUUUUUACUGUAUAGUAUGUGCAUUAUUUAAAUUCAUGUAUAAUAUGUAAAUAUACAUUUAUGUAAAAUAGAAUUGCUAGCCAAUAUUUGUACAAAAACUAUUUUUAAGUUAGAUUGUUAAAAAAAACAUUUUGCCCAACCGAGUGUAUGUAGUGAGUUAUUGAGUGAGUUUUAUUUUAAUAAAUAUACGCUCAUUUCAGCUCAAAUUGACAACGAAAAUUUUAUGCCACUGUCACUUGAAAUGUACAUGAAUGUCCACUUAAAUGUGAUCAAUUAUAUUUUUGUGUUAUCUUUGAAAUCAAAGUUAAUGCUUAUCAGUUGUUUUUGGGGAAAAAAAUCAGUGUUAUAAAACAAAAUUAUAAUUACAAAUAACUUAUAUAAAUGUAUUUUAUAGUGAAUUAAGAUUUAUUUUCAUUCAUAUGUUGAAGUUUUUGAUAUAGAUUUGUGACUAGUAUUACACAACAGCUUGUCAAGUUGUGUUUCUAAUCAAAGUUACAAAAGUAUUGUUUUCUAAUAUGUUUUAACUCAAUUUUUUUUAGAAAAAAAAGAGGUACUGUUACAGUCAUGUUGGCGUUGCCGUCCGCAAACUUGUACCUUGAUCAGAAAUUUUUAAUUUAUAAGUUCUUAGUGUAUUGUAUUCAUACUUGGCCACAACAACUCUGAAUACAAGACCUUUCAGUAGACUAGACUAACCUUGACCUUCGUUCAUAAAUGACCUUGACCUCCAAGGUCAAAUGUCAAAAUAUUGCUUGUUUCUUGCUAUAAGCUUGUGGCUAUAACUUCAAACUUGAACAUAAUGAUCUUUUGAGAUAGCCCUUUAAGUUAACCACACAUACUUUGACCAUCACACAUGAAUGACAUUGACUUUCAAGGUCAAAUUAAUUCUUUUUUGCUGUAACUGGCUGCACCUUUGUUACUUUUGAAUGGAAUGACUUCAUAUUAUAACAGAACAUUCUUUAGGAUAAGGCCUUCAUGUAUAUCAAACUCAAAUUGACCUUCGAUCUUUACUGACAUUGACCUUGAAGGCAAACUCAUUAUCGCGAUAAGUAUCUGUUACUUUGUAAUUUAUCCACGGAUUUUAGAUUAUUAAGUUGAUUAAUUUACAUAUGUCCUUGAAGGUCAAAUGAUUGAAUGAUUGAAUUAUUAUCGUAUAUAUAUUUUCUUAACAUUGUCAUUUAUUAAUGGAAAUGAUUCAUACUAAGCAUGACUAGACAGACCUUUAAAAAAAUAUAAAAAGGAAAACUUUUUUUCUUCUAGACACAAGAUUAGUUAAAUCUGUUAAUUUUUUUUGCCUUAAGAAACAGUAAAAAGGUCGAGCGUUGUCCCUACCCGGAAGUGGCUCUUGUUUAUGAGUUGCUGUAAAUAGAUUUUUAUGCUCCGCCACAAAAUUGCCGGGCAUAUAGUGUUACCCUGUUUAUUAUGGUUAAAUGAUUUUUGGCAGAGUAAUGCCCCGUUAAAUUAAAAAAAAAGAAAUUUCAAUUUGAUUAUCUCCCUAAUGGUUGUUCACACUUAACUCAAAUUUGCCGUAUGGAUAUAUUACAGAAAUAUUCAGGUCAAGUUCGAAAUAGGUCAUGAUUUGAUGAUUUUUACAGAGUUAUCUUUCUUGAACUUUGUAAAAAUAAGAUAUUUUAGUUUCCCUUCAUUAUCUUCCCAACAGUUUUACUAAUUCAAAUGCAAUUUUCCAUACGGUUACGUUUAGAGAAAUUUCAGGUGAAGUUUGAAUUUGGUCAUGCUUUGUUGAUUUUUGGCAGAGAUAUGCCCCUUUAACUGUGAAAAAAUAAAAUAUUUUCAGUUUUUGUUUAUUAUCUACCAAACAGAUGUAAACAUGGAACCCAAAUUUAAUAUAUUGAUAUGUCAUAGGUAUACGCAGGUCAUUUUCGUAUUUGGUCAUCUUUCGAUUGUUUUUGACAGCGUUAUGAUCCUUGAACUUUUUGGGAAAAAAGAGGAAGUCGUCAAUUUCUGUUCCUUAUCUCCCAAAUAGUUGGUCACAUUCGACUGUGAAAUAAGCAGGUUUGUAUUUGGUUUUAGUUCGAUGAUUUUGGUCAGAGUUAUCCCUCUUGAAAGUUGGAAAAAAUACUUUUUAAUAUAUGUAUAAUGUAAAAUGUAUUAAUGUAUGUAUAAUGUUGAAAUUACAUGUGCGGGUAUUAAUAAGAAAAUACAAGUCAAGUUUAAUUUUUAAAUUUGGUCCGAUGAGUUAUCAUUUUUGAACUAAGAAAAAAAAGAAAUUUACCGUUAAUGCUCUUAUUUUUGUAGAAUGUAUGUUUGAGGUUGACAUUGCAUGUGCUGGUAUUUUACCAGAAAAUACAAGCCAAGUUAUGAUUUGGUCAUGGUCCGGUGUUUUUGACAGUAGCAUCCCUUGAACUUGGAAAAGAUUUUAAAAAUCACAAUAUCUAAUCAUUAUUUCUGCUACAAGUAUGCAAUAUUCAAUUUGUAAAAAAGGUAGAUUAACACUUAAUAUUUUCAGGGCCUUAAACUGUAUAUAAAAUGGUUUGUGUUGACAUUGAAUACUUAAAGGGCAUUGAACUUAGAAUGAAAAAUAUGGUUGUGCAAACAAAUUUGAAAAUAAGUAUUAUUAUAACAUUUGAAAAUCUGGCUGCAUGUGGGGGCAUUUGUGGCGUUACGACACAUUUAUAGUUCAUUUAAAUGACUUGCAAGACCCAAUUGUAUUGUCUACUAGACCUAUACAAAAAUAAUGCUCACGUGGUUGCAUUUUGCCUUUGUCUUGUAAAAAAUUCCUAAAAUAAAUGAAAACGUGUACAUAGACAAGCGCUAAAACAUUCCACUAUGACACUUGAAACCACAUAUCUCAACAGAGGAGAGUUUUAUUGUUGGCACUUUUAUUGACACUUUUAUUUGUUGUUGGCACCUUUAUUUGUUGUUGACACUUUUAUUUGUUGCUGCUCUUUAAACAACAUCACCUCUUCAACAAAAAAGUUGAUUUAAACCAAAAACCUCACGAAAAAAUCUUAAGGUUUCCUUAAACGAAUUUAUUAGCAUGGAUCUUGUCUUAUGCAUAAAUCAUAUUAUAACUAAAAUGAAUUUUUGAAAACUAAUUCCUUAGAAACGUUCUGUCGCCAUGUCAUGUCACUGAUAUGUUUUAGCUCUAAUAUUGUAUAAUAUUUGCAUUUUGGUAGAUGAUUUAUUACAAGAUUUAUAUUUGUAGGCAUAGUUUAAUGCAAUAUUUGUAUUAGUGUACAUAGAUAAAUGUAAGAUUUGUAUUUGUGUACAUAAUUUUCAACAAGAUUUGUAUUUGUGUACAUAUUAUUUAUCGCAUUGUAUAAGAUUUGUAUUGUGUGCAUAAUUUAUAGAAGAUGUGUAUUUGUUUGCUUGAUUUUCUUUAAGAUUUGUAUUUGUGUACAUAGAUAAAUGUAAGAUUUGUAUUUGUGUACAUAAUUUUCAACAAGAUUUGUAUUUGUGUACAUAUUAUUUAUCGCAUUGUAUAAGAUUUGUAUUGUGUGCAUGAUUUAUAGAAGAUGUGUAUUUGUUUGCUUGAUUUUCUUUAAGUUUUGUAUUUGUGUAACUACAUAUUAUCUACUACAUUGUAUAAGAUUUGUAUUGUGUGCAUGAUUUAUAGAAGAUGUGUAUUUGUUUGCUUGAUUUUCUUUAAGUUUUGUAUUUGUGUAACUACAUAUUAUCUACUACAUUGUAUAAGAUUUGUAUUGUGUGCAUGAUUUAUAGAAGAUGUGUAUUUGUUUGCUUGAUUUUCUUUAAGUUUUGUAUUUGUGUAACUACAUAUUAUCUUCUACAUUGUGUAAGAUUUGUAUUGUGUACAUGAUUUAUAGAAGAUUGUUUUUUGUGUGCUCGAUUUUCUAUAAGAUUCGUAUUUGUGUACAUAGCUUACUAUUAGAUAAGUUUUUUCUACAUUAUAUGAGGAAGCUAUCAAGCUAGCUUACUCAGGUGCCUAUUUGUGCCUGAUACAAUUAACAGAAUGUCACCUGAUGUCUUCCUCUACCAGUAAGACUGGACAUACACUGAGUUGUUGUGCAAAUAAACACUUUUUACUAUAAAACUUUUAUAUUUAUGUACAUGAUUUACUCUCAGAUUUGUAAUUUUGUUUUACGUGACUAUCUAUAAUAUUUGUAUGUGUGUUUACUAUAAGUUUUACUACAUGUACAUGAAUAAGCUUUCUAUAUUUGUGUACAUGAUUUACUUUAGGAUUUGCAUUUGUCUAUAUUAUUUACUGUACAGAUUUUACCAUGAAUGUUCAUGUAAAUGAUAAGGAGAAUUGCUGCUAUAAUGACCAUUUCAAAUUUGUAGUUACUUUUAUAAUGUUUUUCAUCCUGAAACAUAUAAUUAUGAUAUGCAAUGAAGUUGUUAAGACAAAGUACACGGUUUUGAAGAAAAGACUGAAAAGCAUGUUCACGUGUCAUGGGAGCUGUAUGGUCAUUCUAUUUUAAGAUUUUCAAACAGCCUUAUUGACACUUAUAAACAAACUAUAAAGAAUCAUCAAUCUAUAUGCUUCUUUAUUCAUAGCUAGUUGAUUUUACUAUGCAACAAGAAAACUUACUUAAAGUUUCACACCUUAACCUGCGCUCAAACCUAGGUGACAGAACCUAAUGGAACUCAGUAAGAACAAUCUUUGAGUGGAAUAUAUGAAAUUAGUUGUUUUGGUCUGCUUAACAUUAUAUAAAAUAUAUUUUAACUUUCAAUUGAUUGUUAUAUUUAGACCGUAUAUAACUUUUCUGUAAUAGUUCUCCUUAAAUGUGUAAUAAUUUUCCUUAAAAGCUGAUAAAACAAUAUGAUUUGUUUGUCAUACUUAAUUAAUUAUGUCUCCCAACAUUUUUGGCGGACAUAUUGUUUUUGCCUUCGCCGUGUGUCUGUCCGUCCGCAUUUAGCUUGUCCGCCCUUCACAGGUCAGACUACUUAUGGGAUUUCAACCAAACUUUACAGGAGUGAUUAGUAUGCUUUGUUAUGCACAUCACCGGCACAUCCGCUCCACUGCACAAAAUGGCCACCAGAGCUAAAAAUAGAAAAUCCUUGUCCGGCCUCCACCUGUCAAACUGCUUGUGGGAUUUCAACCAAACUUUACAGGAGUGGUCAGUACCAUCCGUAGUUUUGCACAUUACCGGCAGGUUGCGCUUCGCUGCACUAAAUGGCUAUCAGAGCUAUGAAUAGAUACACCCUGUCUGGCUUUCACAUGUCAAGCUUCUAGUGGGAUUUUAAUGAAAUUUCACAUGAGUGACCAUACAUAGUUUUGGGUGACAUAUGUUUUUGUGACAAAAACCCUUCUAGUUUUAAUUAAACUCAUUAGGAAUAAUGAUUGGGGAUCGUACACAAAAUAAUUAGAAUCAAAAUAAGAUGGCUGCAUUAGCUAAAUAAACCAGCUGACAUAGCUUGUUUUACCACUUGGCAGUUUAAUGAAGCUUAAUAGGAAAUAUCAUUGGAAAUUUGUUUACAGCAAAUAGCUAGAGUCAUUUUGCUCUGCUAAAUGAAAGAUCAUGCAAACUAAAACUCUCGUUUUAACAACAUCUGGUUAUAAACAAUUGGACAGACUUUGAUAUAACUUAACAAGAAUACUUUUCUUUUGUUUUUUUAACAUACAGUAAUUGUCUGCAAAGGAUCAUGUUGUCUACCAGACCUUAAAGUACAACAUUGUUUUCCAAAUAAUUGAAUUCAUUAAAAAGUUUUCGUUGGGACUGGUAACAAAAAUGAUUCUUGGAAAGUAUGGUACAAAAAAAGAUUAUACUGUUCAUAACAGUUAACAAUUGUAUUGUACAAAAACAGUUAACAAGUGUACUGUCUGCUGAGCGAAGGUAUUUUUCUCUUGAGUCGUUGGCUCGGGUUGGAAAUUAAUUUGCUGGAGUAAAAAAAAUGAUUGUUUUUUUCCUGGACAUAAUCAAUCCAAGAUUAACUGUAUUUUAUUAUUGUCAUUAUUAUUAUUUUUAUGUAUAAAACAUAUGAUUUUGUAUGUUUGCAUAAUGAUUGUUUUAAGAUAUUAUCUAUAAUAAAUCAAUAAAUCAGUGUUGACACAAUGU